rnacentral:rRNA from 1 species
GAGUUUGAUCUUGGCUCAGAACGAACGCUGGCGGCAGGCCUAACACAUGCAAGUCGAACGGUGUAGCAAUACACAGUGGCGCACGGGUGAGUAACGCGUGGGAACGUGCCUUUUGGUACGGAAUAACGUCGGGAAACUGACGCUAAUACCGUAUACGCCCUCCGGGGGAAAGAUUUAUCGCCAAAAGAUCGGCCCGCGUCAGAUUAGCUAGUUGGUAGGGUAAUGGCCUACCAAGGCUCCGAUCUGUAGCUGUUCUGAGAGGAAGAUCAGCCACACUGGAACUGAGACACGGUCCAGACUCCUACGGGAGGCAGCAGUGGGGAAUAUUGGACAAUGGGGGAAACCCUGAUCCAGCCAUGCCGCGUGAGUGAUGAAGGCCUUAGGGUUGUAAAGCUCUUUCAGCGGGGAAGAUGAUGACGGUACCCGCAGAAGAAGCCCCGGCUAACUUCGUGCCAGCAGCCGCCGUAAG